AUGGCGUACGGCGGCGGCAGGAGGGGCUCGUCCAGGUGGGGCCUUCCGAUGGUGAGGUCGGACGCGCUCGGCAAGCUGGGCCCCUCCUUCGGCAUCGGCGCCGGCUGCGGCGUCGGCGUCGGAGUCGGCCUCAUCGGCGGCGCAGGAAUUGGAGCUGGAUUCCCUGGUUUACAGCUGGGAUUCGGAGCAGGCGCUGGAUGUGGAAUAGGAAUAGGCUUUGGCUACGGUUUUGGAAAGGGGAUUGCAUAUGACGAGAACGGAAAAUAUUCAAACAUCAGGAGAUCAUUUCAGAACACCGGGAGCCUUCCUUACGAUCAGGAGUUUGAUAUCCUGUUUGACGAGGUGAUGGAGAGCACCAGGAAGCUGAUCAAAGCGACGACAAAGGAGAUCGACAAGUGGAGGCGUAUGUAG
rnacentral:rRNA from 1 species